GGAUGAACGCUGGCGGCGUGCCUAAUCCAUGCAAGUCGAGCGAACGGCCGAGAAGCUUGCUUUUCUGAUGUUAGCGGCGGACGGGUGAGUAACACGUGGAUAACCUACCUAUAAGACUGGGAUAACUUCGGGAAACCGGAGCUAAUACCGGAUAAUAUUUUGAACCGCAUGGUUCAAAAGUGAAAGACGGUCUUGCUGUCACUUAUAGAUGGAUCCGCGCUGCAUUAGCUAGUUGGUAAGGUAACGGCUUACCAAGGCAACGAUGCAUAGCCGACCUGAGAGGGUGAUCGGCCACACUGGAACUGAGACACGGUCCAGACUCCUACGGGAGGCAGCAGUAGGGAAUCUUCCGCAAUGGGCGAAAGCCUGACGGAGCAACGCCGCGUGAGUGAUGAAGGUCUUCGGAUCGUAAAACUCUGUUAUUAGGGAAGAACAUAUGUGUAAGUAACUGUGCACAUCUUGACGGUACCUAAUCAGAAAGCCACGGCUAACUACGUG
rnacentral:rRNA from 1 species